rnacentral:rRNA from 1 species
GAGUUUGAUCCUGGCUCAGAUUGAACGCUGGCGGCAUGCCUUACACAUGCAAGUCGAACGGCAGCAUGAUCUGGCUUGCUAGAUUGAUGGCGAGUGGCGAACGGGUGAGUAAUACAUCGGAACGUGCCCUGUAGUGGGGAAUAACUAGUCGAAAGAUUAGCUAAAUACCGCAUACGACCUGAGGGUGAAGGUGGGGGACCGCAAGGCCUCAUGCUAUAGGAGCGGCCGAUGUCUGAUUAGCUAGUUGGUGGGGUAAAGGCCCACCAAGGCGACGAUCAGUAGCUGGUCUGAGAGGACGAUCAGCCACACUGGGACUGAGACACGGCCCAGACUCCUACGGGAGGCAGCAGUGGGAAUUUGGACGAUGGGCGAAAGCCUGAUCCAGCAAUGCCGCGUGUGUGAAGAAGGCC